AGAGCGAACGCUGGCGGCAGGCUUAACACAUGCAAGUCGAGCGCCCGUAGCAAUACGGGAGCGGCAGACGGGAGAGUAACACGUGGGAACGCGCCCUUCGGUUCGGAAUAACUCAGGGAAACUUGAGCUAAUACCGAAUACGCCCUUACGGGGAAAGAUUUAUUGCCGAAGGAACGGCCCGCGUCGGAUUAGCUAGUUGGUGAGGUAACGGCUCACCAAGGCGACGAUCCGUAGCUGGUCUGAGAGGAUGACCAGCCUCACUGGGACUGAGACACGGCCCAGACUCCUACGGGAGGCAGCAGUGGGGAAUAUUGGACAAUGGGCGCAAGCCUGAUCCAGCCAUGCCGCGUGGAUGAUGAAGGCCUUAGGGUUGUAAAGUCCUUUUAACGGGGAAGAUAAUGACGGUACCCGUAGAAUAAGCCCGGCUAACUUCGUGCCAGCAGCCGC
rnacentral:rRNA from 1 species